GAUGAACGCUGGCGGCGUGCCUAAUACAUGCAAGUCGAGCGAACAGACGAGGAGCUUGCUCCACUGACGUUAGCGGCGGAAGGGUGAGUAACACGUGGAUAACCUCCCUAUAAGUCUGGGAUCACUUCGGGAAACCGGAGCUAAUACCGGAUAAUAUAUUAAACCGCAUGGUUCAAUAGUGAACGACGGUUUUGCUGUCACUUUUAGAUGGAUCCGCGCCGCAUUAGCUAGUUGGUCAGGUAACGGCUUACCAAGGCAACGAUGCGUAGCCGACCUGAGAGGGUGAUCAGCCACACUGGAACUGAGACACGGUCCAGACUCCUACGGGAGGCAGCAGUAGGGAAUCUUCCGCAAUGGGCGAAAGCCUGACGGAGCAACGCCGCGUGAGUGAUGAAGGUCUUCGGAUCGUAAAACUCUGUUAUUAGGGAAGAACAAAUGUGUAAGUAACUAUGCACGUCUUGACGGUACCUAAUCAGAAAGCCACGGCUAACUACGUG
rnacentral:rRNA from 1 species